rnacentral:tRNA from 1 species
GGUCUCAUAGCUCAGCGGGAGAGCGCUCGCCUCACACGCGAGAGGUCGCUGGUUCGAUCCCAGCUGGGACCACC